rnacentral:rRNA from 1 species
GAUGAACGCUGGCGGCGUGCCUAAUACAUGCAAGUCGAGCGAACGGACGAGAAGCUUGCUUCUCUGAUGUUAGCGGCGGACGGGUGAGUAACACGUGGAUAACCUACCUAUAAGACUGGGAUAACUUCGGGAAACCGGAGCUAAUACCGGAUAAUAUUUUGAACCGCAUGGUUCAAAAGUGAAAGACGGUCUUGCUGUCACUUAUAGAUGGAUCCGCGCUGCAUUAGCUAGUUGGUAAGGUAACGGCUUACCAAGGCAACGAUGCAUAGCCGACCUGAGAGGGGUGUUGGCCCCACUUGAACCGAGACCAGGGCCAGACUCCUACGGGAGGCAGCAGUAGGGAAUCUUCCGCAAUGGGCGAAAGCCUGACGGAGCAACGCCGCGUGAGUGAUGAAGGUCUUCGGAUCGUAAAACUCUGUUAUUAGGGAAGAACAUAUGUGUAAGUAACUGUGCACAUCUUGACGGUACCUAAUCAGAAAGCCACGGCUAACUACGUG